GGGCCAUUAGCUCAGCGGAUAGAGCAACCGCCUUCUAAGCGGUCGGUCGCUGGUUCGAUCCCAGCAUGGCCCG
rnacentral:tRNA from 14 species